rnacentral:rRNA from 1 species
UACGUAGGGUGCAAGCGUUGUCCGGAAUUAUUGGGCGUAAAGGGCUCGUAGGCGGUCCAUCGCGUCGGGAGUGAAAAGCUGGGGCUCAACCCCAGUCCUGCUUCCGAUACGGGUGGACUAGAGGUAUGCAGGGGAGAACGGAAUUCCUGGUGUAGCGGUGAAAUGCGCAGAUAUCAGGAGGAACACCGGUGGCGAAGGCGCCACUCUGGGCCGAAACUGACGCUGAGGAGCGAAAGCGUGGGUAGCAAACAGG